UGAAAAACGACUUUUCUUGCUCAUUUUCGUCGAAAAUAUAAAACUUUGACUGAAUUUCCCACUCCACGAAACUCUCCUUAGUCCUUUUAAAGUGCAAUUUCCUUGCACGGUUGGCUUCAGGCAAGUAUGGGCAUGUUUACCUGAGUUAUCGUUCCAGUCUUAUUAGAGUUCACUGAUAGUAGUACACUCAUAGGCGUACGGGAUUCAUAUAUCUAUUAAUAAUAAUAAUAAACUUUAUUUAAAGAAGGU